AGCGAACGCUGGCGGCAUGCCUAACACAUGCAAGUCGCACGGGGGGGCUUCGGCCUCCCAGUGGCGGACGGGUGAGGAACGCGUAGGGACCUGUCGAAGGGUGGGGGAUAACCGCGGGAAACUGCGGCUAAUACCGCAUGACGCCGCGGCGUGACAGCCGGGGCCAAAGGCGAAAGCCGCCCGCCGAGGGGCCUGCGUCCGAUUAGCUGGUUGGCGGGGUAGCGGCCCACCAAGGCGUCGAUCGGUAGCUGGUCUGAGAGGGUGAUCAGCCACACCGGGACUGAGACACGGCCCGGACUCCUACGGGAGGCAGCAGUGGGGAAUAUUGGACAAUGGGCGCAAGCCUGAUCCAGCAAUGCCGCGUGGGUGAAGAAGGUCUUCGGAUUGUAAAGCCCUUUCGGCGGGGACGAUGGUGACGGUACCCGCAGAAGAAGCCCCGGCUAACUUCGUG
rnacentral:rRNA from 1 species